UGGAACUGUUAAGAACUUUGGGGACUCCUAGAGAUGGAUACAAUUCAUUUUGUAUAAAGAAACAGACAUGAUCUUUUGGGGACCAGAGGCUGUUUGGAUUUAGAUCUAGAAUGUUCCCUAGAAGGUUGUGUAUUUAGAGUUGGAGUUUCUAGAAGACAGAUUAUGGCAGCACUAGAUUAAUUCACUGAUGAGUUAUGGGUAACUAUGGUGUUAGAAAAUUAAGGAUUGGUCAAAGAGGUAGGUAGGUUACUGGGUCCGGGGGCGGGGGUGAGACCUAGAAGAGUUUGUCUCUCUUUCUGGCUCUCUUUUCUUUCUCUUUCUCCUGAAAAUCAUGUAAACUCCCCGCCUCCCGGCAGUGAUUGGGUCCUGGAGGUGCUGUAUCCAUUGGUAGACAAACCUGCUGAUGUGAUGAAUCCAUAGCUAAAAGUGCUGUUAGCAGGUGGGGUCUUGUCAGAAGAGGCUGGGGACACGACCUGGGUUUGUCUCCUUUCCUUCUUACCUUGCUUCUUGAUCUCCUUGACCUUAGCAACUGUCUUCUGCCAGCCCCUUCCCCCAUGCUGUUUCUGCAUCUGACUGCCAACUAUGGACUAAAAACUCCUGGAACUAUGAGCCAAAAUAAAUCUCUCCUCCCUUAAGCUGACGGUACCUGCUAUUUUGCCCUAGUGACAAUAAAGUGACUAAGGUUUUUUUUCUCAGUAAAAUUUUGUUUUGUUAAUCGCCUGACGGAGUAGUAACCCAACAAGACAAGCAUGAAAACAAUCUGCAAAAGAAGCGCCAUGAAACGGUACAGUACUCCUGCCUCUCACUGCACCUGCCUGUCCCGUAGCGGGCAGGAGCUCAUGACCUCGGAGCACCGAGAAACAGCAGGGCACACUGUGCUCUCGAAGAAAAGGGACCCCAUGACGCCCCCUCCCCGCCCAGAGAGGCGGCGCUGCCGUAAGACUUCCCUGGGCGACGGACGGCCUGGGUGCCUUCCCGCACUCCCGUCUCCCCAGCAGCAAGCCUGGCUGCAGGGCCAGCCCCUUCCAGGGGCCAGCCUGCCCUUUGCUGCCCCACGCCCCGGUGAGGCCGGAGGGGUGACACACAGGGGAUGCCAUGGCCAGCACUGGAAACAACUCUGACAAAGGGCAGCAUCUGAGCUGCCUAUGGCAUGGAGAAGGACACAGGGCUCCAAAAAACAACAGGAUUCAGCGAAGAGCGUUUCAGAGAUGCAGUAGCACCGAAUGUUGCUGAGAGCUGAAAUAACGACUGGAUUCAGCGAUGCACCUUGGGAGCACACGGACUGAGGAAAAGAACUGGGGCUCAAGGUGGGGAGGGGCGUCGGGGCUAUUUUUUUUUUUUUUUGAAAAGUUGGGAAGAAGGAA
rnacentral:lncRNA from 1 species